GCCUGCGUGUGCCCCAAGGGCAGCUUCUCGCGCGGAGGAUGGCCCGUCACGUGCUGCCGCUGGUGCUGCUUGUUGUGGCUCUGGUGGUGCGGCUCAUUCUGUCCGCGCCUCUCCACGAGCCCGACCGCGACAUGACCCAGGAGACUCACGGCCCGGUGCACGCUGUGAUGGUGGAGCAAUCAAUCUUCGGCGGACUGGGGCUCG